GAUGAAGAACGCAGCGAAAUGCGAUACGUUGUGUGAAUUGCAGAAUUCAGUGAAUCAUCGCAUCUUUGAACGCACAUUGCACCUCUCGGUAUUCCGGGAGGUAUGCCUGUUCGAGCGUCAUUUGUACCCUCAAGCUCUGCUUGGUGUUGGGUGUUUGUUCCGCCUCUGUGUGUGAACUCGCCUCAAAACAAUUGGCAGCCGGCGUACUUGUUUCGGAGCGCAGCACAUUUUGCGAUCCAGAUCAACGUACAGCGGCAUCCAAGAAGCCUUAUUUAACGCUCUUGACCUCGGAUCAGGUAGGGAUACCCGCUGAACUUAAGCAUAUCAAUAAGCGGAGGA
rnacentral:misc_RNA from 1 species